GCUGGGCAUGGUGGCGUGUGUCUGUAAUCCCAGCUACUCGGAAGGCUGAGGCAGGAGAAUUGCUUGAACCCGGGAGGUGGAGGUUGCCAUGAGCCGAGAUCAGGCCAUUGCACUCCAGCCUGGGCGACAAUAGCAAGACUCCGUCUCAAAAAAAAAAAAAAAAAAAAAAAAUCGAGACAGAGUGUUGCUCUGUUGCCCAGGCUGGAGUGCAGUGGCAUGAACAGAAGGCUCACUGCAGCCUCAACUUCCUGGGCUCAAGCAAUCCUCCUGCCUCAU
rnacentral:sRNA from 1 species